rnacentral:lncRNA from 1 species
CGUCAAUCCAAAAUCAAGCUUCGACGAAAUAAAUACGCACGCAACUUUUUUUAAAUAGGCUCGUUUGCUUUCUGUUGGAAUGGGAAAGAGAAAAAUGGCGAGAAGGAAAAAUUAUUUUCUCUUCCUUUAUAUUAGAAUAACAAAGAGAUGGAAAAGUUUUGAGCCUAAAAUUAAGCAGAUAAAUAAGAAAAAGGAGAAAAAAUGAUUAUUCAUAAUGGGUCAUUAUUGUUCUCUCCAAAAGUACAGAAAAAAAAAGGGGGGAAAAUUAUUUUACCAAACAUCAUGCACGUGAGAAAAUUAUUACUAUUUUUUCUUUUCUUUUCUCCCGUUUUCUCUUUUCACUCUCAUUUGGGUCUUCUAAAAAAAUUCUAGAGGAAUAUAUUGGAUACGCUGUUCUUUAAAACAAACUUACAGUAUCAAUUGUUUGACAAUAAUUAAUACUAGUAGAUUUACAAAUAAACUAGCAAUCAUUAUUUCUUUAAGAUUGACACUAGCAAAUUCCUCCACUUAAAAGAUUAAAAUAACAUGGUCGUCCCACUUUAUUUGAGUCUCGCUAUUAUUUACUGAUGCUUACACAAUAAUUAAUCCUACACAUUCAUUUUUUUCGCGAUUAAUUUUCUCGUGCUAAAGGUCAUGCAACUGUUGUUCGCCAACUCAAAUGACAGGGAUAAAUAUCAAUUACC